CCUACGGGAGGCAGCAGUAAGGAAUAUUGGUCAAUGGACGCAAGUCUGAACCAGCCAUGCCGCGUGCAGGAUGAAGGCCCUCUGGGUUGUAAACUGCUUUUAUCUGGGAAGAAAAUACCCUUUUCUAAGGGAGUUGACGGUACCAGAGGAAUAAGCACCGGCUAACUCCGUGCCAGCAGCCGCGGUAAUACGGAGGGUGCAAGCGUUAUCCGGAUUCACUGGGUUUAAAGGGUGCGUAGGCGGGUUUUUAAGUCAGUGGUGAAAGCUUCCCGCUCAACGGGAAAACUGCCAUUGAUACUAUUAAUCUUGAAUUCAGUUGAGGUCGGCGGAAUGUGUCGUGUAGAGGUGAAAUUCUUAGAUAUGACACAGAACACCAAUUGCGAAGGCAGCUGGCUAAACUGAUAUUGACGCUGAGGCACGAAAGCGUGGGGAUCAAACAGGAUUAGAUACCCUGGUAGUCCACGCCCUAAACUAUGAUCACUCGAAGUUGGCGAUAUACUGCCCACGCCUACUACGACAAACGACAUUAAGUAGAUACCACCGUACGGGUAGGUACGAGUCGCGAAGAGUUAGUAACGUAACGAAAGUAAGUUAGUACGGACGUAGAGACGUACGACCGAACGGACGACGACGGAGGGAGGAGG
rnacentral:rRNA from 1 species